rnacentral:rRNA from 1 species
GGUCAGGACGAACGCUGGCGCGUGCCUAAUACAUGCAAGUCGAACGGCUUUUCUAUGGAAGCUUGCUUCCACUGAGAAGAUAGUGGCGAACGGGUGAGUAACACGUGGGUAACCUGCCCAUAAGAGGGGGAUAACAUCCGGAAACGGGUGCUAAUACCGCAUAGUUUUCUUGAUCGCAUGAUUGAGAAAGGAAAGACGGCCUUUGUGCUGUCGCUUAUGGAUGGACCCGCGGCGUAUUAGUUAGUUGGUGAGGUAACGGCUCACCAAGACGAUGAUACGUAGCCGACCUGAGAGGGUGAUCGGCCACAUUGGGACUGAGACACGGCCCAAACUCCUACGGGAGGCAGCAGUAGGGAAUCUUCCGCAAUGGACGAAAGUCUGACGGAGCAACGCCGCGUGAGUGAAGAAAGGUUUUCGGAUCGUAAAACUCUGUUGUCAGAGAAGAACAAGUUGGAGAGUAACUGCUCCAGCCUUGACGGUAUCUGACCAGAAAGCCACGGCUAACUACGUGCCAGCAGCCGC